rnacentral:rRNA from 1 species
CCUACGGGAGGCAGCAGUGGGGAAUUUUGGACAAUGGGCGCAAGCCUGAUCCAGCAAUGCCGCGUGAGUGAAGAAGGCCUUCGGGUUGUAAAGCUCUUUUGUCAGGGAAGAAACGGUUGAGGCUAAUAUCCUCGGCUAAUGACGGUACCUGAAGAAUAAGCACCGGCUAAACUACGUGCCAGCAGCCGCGGUAAUACGUAGGGUGCAAGCGUUAAUCGGAAUUACUGGGCGUAAAGCGUGCGCAGGCGGUUUUGUAAGUCUGUCGUGAAAGCCCCGGGCUUAACCUGGGAAUUGCGAUGGAGACUGCAAGGCUUGAAUCUGGCAGAGGGGGGUAGAAUUCCACGUGUAGCAGUGAAAUGCGUAGAGAUGUGGAGGAACACCGAUGGCGAAGGCAGCCCCCUGGGUCAAGAUUGACGCUCAUGCACGAAAGCGUGGGGAGCAAACAGGAUUAGAUACCCUGGUAGUCCACGCCCUAAACGAUGUCUACUAGUUGUCGGGUCUUAAUUGACUUGGUAACGCAGCUAACGCGUGAAGUAGACCGCCUGGGGAGUACGGUCGCAAGAUUAAACUUAAAUGAAUUGAGNGNGAGAGNGCGAGACGACGACGAGGAGGAGG